UACAGAGGUGGCAAGCGUUGUCCGGAAUUACUGGGCGUAAAGCGCGCGUAGGUGGCUAGAUAAGUCCGGUGUGAAAUCCUUCGGCUUAACCGGGGAAUGGCAUCGGGGACUGUUUAGCUAGAGGACGGGAGAGGAGAGCGGAAUUCCCGGUGUAGCGGUGAAAUGCGUAGAGAUCGGGAGGAAGGCCGGUGGCGAAGGCGGCUCUCUGGAACGUCCCUGACGCUGAGGCGCGAAAGCGUGGGGAGCGAACAGG
rnacentral:rRNA from 1 species